rnacentral:rRNA from 1 species
GCCUGGGGAGUACGGCCGCAAGGCUAAAACUCAAAGAAAUUGACGGGGGCCCGCACAAGCGGCGGAGCAUGUGGAUUAAUUCGAUGCAACGCGAAGAACCUUACCUGGGUUUGACAUGCACAGGACGUGCCUAGAGAUAGGUAUUCCCUUGUGGCCUGUGUGCAGGUGGUGCAUGGCUGUCGUCAGCUCGUGUCGUGAGAUGUUGGGUUAAGUCCCGCAACGAGCGCAACCCUUAUCUUAUGUUGCCAGCGCGUA